UAGGAGAGGAGGUGCUACUCUGAUUGAUAUUUUAAGGCUGUAUAUAAAAUGGAAAAAUUCUUCUCACUCUCUGCUUGUCGUUCUGGGCUGCAUUUGUAUCUGGGGGCUCGAUGCUUCCUUGCUGUUGUAUUUGCACAUACUGGGAAUAAAGACAAACUGAAACAAUGCCAGAACCCACUAAAACAGCUGAUAUACCAGUAAAAGAAAGUGCACCUCCUCCAGUAGAAACUAACGCUCAGAAAGAUGAGAAACCCAAGAAAAAGGUGAGUACAAGUAUUCUUCAAAAGCUAGACAAGACCUCUCUCUCUCUCUCUCUCUCUCUCUCUGGUUAUCUAUCUAUCUAUCUAUCUAUCUAUCUAUCUAUCUAUCUAUCUAUCUAUCGAUCAUAAGUUUGUUAAAACAGCAGAAUAUUGCACAGGUCUCAUUAGGAAUCUAAAGAAGUGAUUAGAAGUUUAAAUUUGUUCUACCACACAUUAAUAUUUUUUGUGUGUUGUUGAGUUUCUGAGAAUCUCUCUCUCUCUAAGGAUUUAGUUCCUAGUACAGUAUUCUGUAUUGUCUUGGAAACUGAAAGAUCAAAGUUUCUCAGAAUUUGCUUCUUGUUAA
rnacentral:lncRNA from 1 species